rnacentral:RNase_P_RNA from 1 species
CCAGGGGACCGGGCGACCGCGGCCCUGCCAGAAGGCAGGGGCGAGGAAAGUCCGGGCUCCACGGAAAAACGGUGCCGGGUAACGCCCGGCGGCUCCUUUAUCGGGAGUCAGGGACAGUGCCACAGAAAGCAUCCCGCCGGUCUUCGGGCCGGUCAGGGCGAACGGGUGCGGUAAGAGCGCACCGCGCGGACGGCAACGGACGCGGCACGGUAAACCCCACCGGGUGCAAGACCGAAUAGGGGCGGCAUAUGAGCUUUUCCGGCUCGUCGCCCGGGUUGGUUGCUUGACCCUGCUUGCAAGAGCAGGGCUAGAGGAAUGGUCGCCCAUCCCCUUCAUGGGGUGGACAGAACCCGGCUUACAGGUCCCCUGGCGCU